rnacentral:lncRNA from 1 species
AUUGUCCUACAAGUAUGUCAAGAAACUCUAUGAUUCUACCAUCUUCCCUUUUCCAUUUGAAAUUGACAAUUGCUUGUGAGUGGAAAAGCAAGAAGGGAAAUGAAGAGGAUUUGUUAUUUACUUGUGCAAUUGCGGCGUAUCGGGCCAAGCCCCAUGCAGCUUCCUUCACUGCAAGAGCAGAUGGUCCGUUGGGAAUGCUAACCACUGUACGCCUGCAAGUGUUGAAGGUAAGAGAAAAUAGUUUUAAAGGAAGGAAAUGGCAAGCAACGUCAUAGAUCUCUUACUAGAGGAUCCCUUGACAAGGUAAAUUCUCAUAAAAUUUAGAGAGGUUAAAUUUUCUCAUAAAAUUAUUGAGAAAAUAUAGCUAAAAAGAAAAAAAAUUAAAAAAAUAGAAAAUAUAGAAAGGGAAGAUAAAAAUCAACUUUUUUAUAUUUAUUGCAUUCUAAGUGCCCCUAUGUUUCGAAUUUUCUUCUACUUUGUAUGAGUCUAAAGAUGCAUACUCAACUCUUAUGUCUUUUGUAAACAUUUACUCACAAACAUAAAUUUGUUUCUUAUUAGUACUGGAUAACACAAAAAGAAAAAGGUUGCAGUAUUAGCAAAUUUUCAUUUUUGCAAUUCUGUAUGUCUCGAAAGAAGAACACAAAGGCUUUUCACUAUAUCAUGUAACCACCAAAAAAUUAGUCGAGGCGGAUUUCACCAUUUAGCGAAGCGAGCACCCUGCUGAUAGUAGGCUGCACACCGCGAUGCCAAUCCAUCGAGCCCUUGGCACCAUGACUCGUUGUUUGAACCAGCUAGGGGCACAAGACCCUAAGCCACACCAAGUUCAUACUCACCAUGUCAAAAGAAAUCAAAGCUAUUCAUGCCUACAAAACCAAAACCUUCAAUUUACACAAGAAAGGAAAUGUUUUGAUCUCACCUUGUCAACCUUGAUACCAGGCAUGAUGUUUUGUUCGACGAGGACAUCAACCAUUUUCUUGCCAUCGACAGUCGAUUGGUAGAGAGUUUCCUCGAAGAGGAUUGCACCAGAGAUGUAUUG